rnacentral:tRNA from 2 species
GCGCCUGUAGCUCAACCGGAUAGAGCAACGGCCUUCUAAGCCGUAGGCUACAGGUUCGAUUCCUGUCAGGCGCACCA